UCUCCUGUGGUGCACACGGCAGCACACCCGGUUGUUACCCGGGAAGUCCAGGUUCGAGUCCUGGUGGGAGAG
rnacentral:tRNA from 2 species